UGAAAUAGGAAGACCUAUCAUAAAUAUGUGUGGCACCAGUCCCUGGGUUGGGAUUAUGUACUGCAGGAAAAGGGAUGGCACCAUUCUGUAGACUAGAGUUCUAGACUACAUGAAAAGAAGGAAGGUAGAUUAUGCAUGACCAUUUGCUGUUUUCUGCUUCCUGUCUGGAUGCCACUUGUCAAAAUGCCUCAAGCUCAUGCCACAAGAAGUUCUCUACCAAUAUACGAUUAGGAUUGUACAUCAGGUGUGAAGUACUGUGACAGCAAAAAGUAACUAAUACAGGAAAUUGGUUUUGAGAAGUGAGGCCACUGCUCUGAUAAACUUGACUAUGUGACUCUUAGGCCACUAGAAAUGGCUUUCAUGAGGAAUGUAGAAGAUUUGGAACUUUGGGCUAAUAAAAUCUUUGAAUGCUAUGCUACAGAGCUUAAUGGGCCAUUGUGGUAGAAGUUUAUAAGUACAGACUAUGGAGGCCUGGCUCACAAAGCUUCAGAGGGGAACAAGCAUUGUCAAGAACUGGGCUAGAGACAAUUUGUGUGACCCUUUCCUAAGGAUCUGGCUUCAUUCUACCUGUGAUCUGAGAACUUGAAUAACAAUUUAAAGGAAAAGUACUCAUUUAUUGGGUGAAGAAAAUUACCAAAAAGGUAUAUAUUCAGGCUUGUGGCACAGCUCCUAGUAACUUCUCUUAUAAAAGUUUACAAUGAAAAAGUUCCAUUGUGCUGAAGAUAAAUACAAAAAUGAUUAAAACUUGGAGUCUAUCAAGGAUUAGAAAGCUAAAGCAAGGCAAAAGCUGCAGGCAAGGCAGGUAUGGAAGAAGAGGCUUUGUUAAAAGAGAAACCACCCUGCUCUGCCCCCAGAACAAUAGGAAAUGUGUCUGGAUAGCCCCACUGUCCCUAUCUAAGGUUUCAGCUUGUAAAAAAUUUGGACUUAUUUGAAAGAAGAGAACCUGGACUGAGAAUAUAGCUGAAGGGAUUCCCUGCUCCCUGAAGACAACUCCCUAGGGGAAGUGUUUCUGUAGGGUCAGCACACUGUGGGUGAUAGCUUUGUUCCAAGAAGAUAUAUUUCUAACUAGCAACAGCUCUUGGAAGCUUUGUGGAUGUGAUACUAGUUUCAUAGGUAUGAAAGAUGCAACAUUGAAGGGGUCAAGUAGAUUUGCUCCAAAGUGUCAGAAUGCAGCUGAGACUAAACAUUGUAUGUCUAAACUGGAGUCUCUACCGGAAGGCUCUGAAUGCCCAGUGCAUGGACCUGUGAAGGUAAACUAUAAUUUGCCUUGGAGACUCCAGUAUAUAAGUGAUGCCAGGAGCAUGGGGUUAUCCACCAAGGAAAGCUACAGGCAUGGAGUGGGGCCAGUUGCGCAGCAGAGAUGGAAGAGUGAGGCUUCUCAAGUACUUUAAAUUCCAGGGGAUUCUAUUACAAGUCUCAGAUGUAGUGGACAUGCUCCAGUAAGAUAUGUUGUUUUCCCUGCUGGGUUUCUGCCCUAGUUUUUUCCUUUGGGAAUGGGAAUGUUUAUGCUUUCAUGUAUUAGAACCAUGCAACUUGCUUUUUGGUAUUAAAGGGCCUCACAGAGUAUUUCAGAUGAAACUUGGACUUUGGAUAUUAAAACAUUGUUGGAAUUCUUGAAGACUAGGGAUUUUUUUGUAUUGUAUAUGACCCACUUUAUGAAAUGGCCAUCAGCUUAUGGGGACAAGAGAGGAAAAGUUAUGACUCAACAGUGAUAAUCAUGUCAUGUUGACAAGGAGUACAGUUAUGGUGGCUAAUAUUGUCAGCUUGACUGAAUCUGGAAUCACCUGGUAGAUGGACGUCUGAGAAUAUCUGGGGGAAAUUGUCUUAAGUUAAUUGGCAUGGAAAGACUGACUUUAAAUGUAGUACUCCAUGGGCUGAGGUCUUAGACUACAUGUAAAGAAGAAAGAUGACUAAGAAUGAACAUUCAUUGUUCUCUGUUCUUGACUGUGGAUGCCUCUGGACCAGCUGCCUCAAGCUCCUGCCACUGUAACUUCCCUGUCCAGAUGUAUUCUAUCUUUGAACUGUGAGCCAAAAUAAAUCCAUCAUUAAUUUG
rnacentral:lncRNA from 1 species